rnacentral:rRNA from 1 species
UACAGAGGUCUCAAGCGUUGUUCGGAUUCAUUGGGCGUAAAGGGUGCGUAGGCGGCGCGGUAAGUCGGGUGUGAAAUCUCGGAGCUUAACUCCGAAACUGCAUUCGAUACUGCCAUGCUUGAGGACUGGAGAGGAGACUGGAAUUUACGGUGUAGCGGUGAAAUGCGUAGAUAUUGGGAGGAACACCGGUGGCGAAGGCGGCCCCCUGGACCGGUACUGACGCUGAGGCGCGAAAGCGUGGGUAGCAAACGGG